UGAAGGAAUCCCAGCACUUUGACGCCACUGCCCGGGCAUGAGAAGCAGCUGAAAACAGCUCAGGCUCCUCAGAGAGCACCUGGCUGUGGAACCAGCUGCAGUCUCUCCAUCACCCUGAGGAGCCUUCAAAAAGCCCACCUGCCUUUUUGGGACUGAUCCUUUGAAUUUCACAGAAACAAGCUGCUACAGCUUUUGAAUGAACUUGCUGCUAUUUGCUCUCACUCUCUCCCUCUUCCAGCUGGUACCAGGCAGAGCAGUGGAACAAUGAAGGUGUCUCUGCCAGAUCCUCCUGCAGGACUGACAACCAGACCCCAUCCUCCUGAUGGUGAGCUCUCACAAAGGACCUGGCCAUGCAAAGUCAAAGGGAAAUCCAGACAUCCAAAGGGUGCAGGUUCCUGGUGUUCAAUCACAGAGGGGCCCCGCUGAGAUAAAGAGUGAGACGCAGAUACGGCCAGUACCUGGCUGGCACCUCCCCACA